rnacentral:rRNA from 1 species
AUGGGACACGUUAGACUUUGUCGACCCCCAAUGGCAUAUUUAGAGAGGGAGAGAGAGAGAGGGGGAGGAGGAGGAGGAGAGUCUAGACUAGACACACUCACAGAGAGCUUGAGAGUGAUCCAUGGCGACCUACCGUCCGGACAGCAACACCCUCCUGGCGGACGACUCGAUUCUGGAGUACGUGCUGGAGACGACGGUGUACCCGCGGGAACACGAGCGCCUGCGCGAGCUCCGCCUCAUCACGCAGCAGCACGCAAGUACGACGACGACGUAAGCUCGAUCUGUUUACGUUGUGUUCUUGCUGGCCUCUCCAGGCCCUUCAUGGGCUCGUCGCCGGAUCAGAUGCGGUUCUUCUCCGUCCUGCUCAAGAUGAUCGGCGCCAGCAACACAGUCGAGGUCGCCGUGUUCACUGGAUACUCAGCGCAUAUCCAGCCGUUCGUUCCCCCCCAGGACGCAUAA